GACGAAGGGGGCUAGCGUUGCUCGGAAUCACUGGGCGUAAAGGGCGCGCAGGCGGCUCAUUUUGUCAGGCGUGAAAGCCCCGGGCUUAACCUGGGAACUGCGUUUGAUACGGAUGGGCUAGAGUUCGGGAGAGGUGAGUGGAACUGCGAGUGUAGAGGUGAAAUUCGUAGAUAUUCGCAAGAACACCAGUGGCGAAGGCGGCCCCACUGGCCCCGAUACUGACGCUGAGGCACGAAAGCGUGGGGAGCAAACAGG
rnacentral:rRNA from 1 species